GACGAACGCUGGCGGCGUGCCUAAUACAUGCAAGUAGAACGCACAGUUUAUACCGUAGCUUGCUACACCAUAGACUGUGAGUUGCGAACGGGUGAGUAACGCGUAGGUAACCUGCCUGGUAGCGGGGGAUAACUAUUGGAAACGAUAGCUAAUACCGCGUAAUAUUAAUUAUUGCAUGAUAAUUAAUUGAAAGGUGCAAUUGCACCACUACCAGAUGGACCUGCGUUGUAUUAGCUAGUAGGUGAGGUAACGGCUCACCUAGGCGACGAUACAUAGCCGACCUGGGGAGGUGGUCGGCCACACUGGGACUGGGACACGGCCCAGGCUCCUACGGGAGGCAGCAGUAGGGAAUCUUCGGCAAUGGACGAAAGUCUGACCGAGCAACGCCGCGUGAGUGAAGGAGGUUUUCGGAUCGUAAAGCUCUGUUGUAAGAGAAGAACGGGUGUGAGAGUGGAAAGUUCACACUGUGACGGUAUCUUACCAGAAAGGGACGGCUAACUACGUG
rnacentral:rRNA from 1 species